rnacentral:rRNA from 1 species
GACGAACGCUGGCGGCGUGCUUAACACAUGCAAGUCGAACGGAAAGACCCUGCUUUUGUGGGGUGCUCGAGUGGCGAACGGGUGAGUAACACGUGAGUAACCUGCCCUUGACUUUGGGAUAACUUCAGGAAACUGGGGCUAAUACCGGAUAGGAGCUCCUGCUGCAUGGUGGGGGUUGGAAAGUUUCGGCGGUUGGGGAUGGACUCGCGGCUUAUCAGCUUGUUGGUGGGGUAGUGGCUUACCAAGGCUUUGACGGGUAGCCGGCCUGAGAGGGUGACCGGCGACAUUGGGACUGAGAUACGGAGCAGACUCCUACGGGAGGCAGCAGUGGGGAAUAUUGCACAAUGGGCGGAAGCCUGAUGCAGCAACGCCGCGUGCGGGAUGACGGCCUUCGGGUUGUAAACCGCUUUCGCCUGUGACGAAGCGUGAGUGACGGUAAUGGGUAAAGAAGCACCGGCUAACUACGUG